rnacentral:rRNA from 1 species
GAUUCUGGCUCAGGACGAACGCUGGCGGCGUGCCUAACACAUGCAAGUCGAACGAAGACCAUAGAGGAGCUUGCUUUAAUAUGGUUUUAGUGGCGGACGGGUGAGUAACGCGUGAGGACUUGUCGAGUACAGGGGGACAACAGGUGGAAACGUCUGCUAAUACCCCAUAAGCCUUCGGGUAAAAGGAGCGAUCCGGUACACGAGAGACUCGCGUUCUAUCAGCUAGUAGGUGGGGUAACGGCCCACCCAGGCCAAGACGGAUAGCCGGACUGAGAGGUCGAUCGGCCACACUGGAACUGAGACACGGUCCAGACUCCUACGGGAGGCAGCAGUGGGGAAUAUUGGGCAAUGGGGAAACCCUGACCCAGCGACGCCGCGUGAGUGAAGAAAUCCCUCGGGAUGUAAAACUCUGUUGUGUGGGAAGAUAAUGACGGUACCACACGAGGAAGCCCCGGCAAACUACGUGCCAGCCGCAGC